AUUGAACGCUGGCGGCAUGCCUUACACAUGCAAGUCGAACGGCAGCACGGGAGCAAUCCUGGUGGCGAGUGGCGAACGGGUGAGUAAUAUAUCGGAACGUGCCCAGUCGUGGGGAUAACGUAGCGAAAGCUACGCUAAUACCGCAUACGAUCUAUGGAUGAAAGCGGGGGAUCGCAAGACCUCGCGCGAUUGGAGCGGCCGAUAUCAGAUUAGGUAGUUGGUGAGGUAAAGGCUCACCAAGCCGACGAUCUGUAGCUGGUCUGAGAGGACGACCAGCCACACUGGGACUGAGACACGGCCCAGACUCCUACGGGAGGCAGCAGUGGGGAAUUUUUGGACAAUGGGCGCAAGCCUGAUCCAGCAAUGCCGCGUGCAGGAUGAAGGCCUUCGGGUUGUUAACGUAGU
rnacentral:rRNA from 1 species